UUGACAGCAAGGGAGACCUACACACUCUCCCUCCAUGGAUCAGGUACAGCAUGAAUAGCAGCAGUACAAGCUUCCCUACAACUAAACUGCCAAUAAUUUUAAAUUAGAGGCAUGUCCUCUAGGGAUGAGAAAAUCUUCCAAACGAUGACAUAAACCAUUCAAUUCUUGGCUUCU
rnacentral:sRNA from 1 species